UCUGGCCCUUGAACUGAGGCAAAGAACCCUGGAGUAGGAGCCCAGUUGUGGUUGAUUAGCUGAUAAUUAAAUGAGCUUGUAUUGGGGAAAGAGCAGUUUGUGGUCAGGAGGCAGACUGGAAAUGAGAGGAGCUUGCUUCUAGGAAAGGUUAAAGGGCCUUUUUCUGCUGCCUGGAGAAAAGCAAAAGAAGCGUGAAGCUCUCAAUCGAUUGUUUGGAUGGAUAUAGGAUGGAUGGUAAGGAAUCACAAACACUCACCCAGAGAAGGUGCUGGUUGUGGACAGCUCCAAGGCACAGUGAGACGAGAGAUUUGGCUAAAGGCAUUUUUGGUGACAUGACCUAGCCCAGGAUGCAGAGAGAUGAAUUGAAAUCACUGUUGCAGAUCCUCAGGUUGUGUAAAUCAGCACAGCACUGUUGGAUUUACCCAACUCAGGAUCUGGUCCACAGGGACUUACAGGGAAAUAUGCUCCCUUUGAUCCACUACAAUCUUUGCCUUUUAUUUCUUUCCUUCCUUUCUCCUCUCCUGUGCAUUUCUCACCCUUCCUGUCUCUGCAAGUCUCUUCUGGUCUCUUGACUCCAGUUGUACCUUUAUAGAACUCCAAGUUUUUAGUCCUCCAACCACUAAUGGGAGUGAAGCUCGUCACUGACUUCUCAUGCCUGGGCUUUACACGUGACACUAUCAUCAGAUGACAGGAGGCAGGGAAGUGGAUACCUCUGAGUCAUUGUUUCAGGAUGUCUCCGGGCUCAGACUAAUAGAAAUGCGUUCAUUUACAUACUAAUUACAUUAAAGGUAUCUCUGAAGUCAAGGGGCGUAGAAACUUUCUUUUGCACUUUAAAUGGGGAAAACAAUGGAAUUCUGCACAAUCGGAAUAUACAAAUCUGCUUGGAUAUGGACCACAGGUUUCAUGUAAGACUAAUUUGGUAUGUCUACAUAUGCAUUUAAGCACGCCUAAAUUUAAUAAACAUUAGCUUAAUGUGCAUUAAGUGGGUUUAGGCAGACAUCUAUAUGUAUAGGUGUUAAAGUGUUUACUGAUUUGGGACUAAAGUUAGUCCCAACUGACUGGAUUUGGGACUAAAGCUAGACCCAAAACAGUCCAUAAACACAGUGUUAACACACUUCAAUGCGUCUACAUGUGCAUUAAUGCGCUUUAACUAUUCAUGCCGAAAUUUGAUACCAGUAUUUGCAGAUAUCAAAUUUAGGUGUGAAUAGCCCCAAAUUGCCAUUUUUCAAGUGCAUUAAGGGCAUGCACGUGUAGACGCACACCCUAAUGUACCUUUAAUUUAGGCUAAUACGCCUUAAAGCAUCUCAUGCAGAUGUGACCAUUGAGGCUGAAAUGUAUCAAGCUGUUUAUUGUAUAAUGUAAAAAAGCAUGCAAGGAAUAUUUCUUUUUGCUGUAUUUACCUCAAACAGUUGGAAGUUUCUGAAGGCAGUGAAUCUGAAAUUAAGAUCAAAACCAGAGUGGGUAGUGGAUUUUCACUUUGGCCAGAGACAGGUCAAAAUGUUUGUGUUUUAGUAUUGCAAAAAGAUUUUUAUUUUUGAAAAGCAACUCCACCAGUAAACAAACAAACAAAGGAAACCUAAUCAGAUUUGUUCCUAACUGAGUUUUCAUUUGGUUAGAGCUAAAAGCAUUAAAUCAGAUAACAGGUUCUGACAUUGGAUCAUGUCAGCUAUUUACAUAAACAACCCUGCUCUUUUGAAUUAAGAACCGUUGCAUGGUAGUAUUUUGGGAGUCAGCCAAGAUACACUGCCUUGCUACUGGUACCCUCACACUGCCCCAGCCUGGCUGCAAUAGAGCUGCAACUCAGGAAAAGAAAGAGAACAACUGAUUGUACGCGGACCACAGGAAGUAGAGAUGUAGAUCAGCAAGCCACUAAAACACAUAUCCUGGGGUAAUGCAGCCCAGGUUUUUGGCUGGUGUAAAUCAUUAUAAAUGUAUUGAAGCCAACAGUGCUGUUGAUUUACACCCGUUAAGGAUUUUGCCCUGUGUUUGCAGUAGGAAAUGAUUCACAAAGAGGUGUGCAGCUUUUAUCAUGCUUGGAGGUUUGUUGAGAAAUGGAAGUUAAAGGAACACAUCUUCAUGUUGCAAGCUUUUCUCCUAUGAUUCGGUUAUUUUUUUAAAGGUGUUUAAUAGAACUCUGAAGUAGCUUUCACCCCUCCCUUCAAGGCCGGCUUGAACCUUACCUAAAAUUGGACGCUUAGGCCCCAUAUUGGGCGGCAGUCCUCUCCUUCUUAGCUGUCAACUCAUGAAUUCAAAGCAGUGUAAAACAGAGCAGACCUUUCAAUCAAGCCCUCCAACAUGCAGAUCCAUCGUUUACUCUUUCCUUGCAAAUGAGUUUUCUAAUAUCUAUCGUCCCCCUCCCAGAGAGAAGGGGAAGGGGGGGGAGCUUUAUUUAUUUAGACUGCUUUACUGCUUGAUCAGAAUUACCCGGCUGAGAGUAGGAUUUCAAUAGCACCUUAUCUGGGGUCUCUCUCUCUCCCCCCUCCCCCUCUGUUUAAUGCUUGAAAUCAGAAAUGGGCUGUGUAUUUUUUUAAUUACAAUGGAAAGAGAAUAGGAUUGAACAGUUAAGUUGAAAUAAAAUAAUAAAAACACUUUAAAACUACAAUGUGAAUGAAAAAUGAUGGUUUUACUCUUUGCCUUAAAGUAAAAUAGCUUUUAUCUUUUUUCUCCCCCCCUUACAACAGCCUCCUCUACCUAGAUAAUGCAUUUGGUUAGAUUUAUUUGCUCAGCCCAGAAAACUUGACACUAAGGGGAUUAUUUAGUUUUAGAUUCGCUGUAGUCCAUGGUAAUAGCCAACAGGGAAAGGAAUG